CUGGCGACUUGUCAAUGCUGUAGCUUCGCCUGGAGGGUGAGAGUGGAGACGGGAGGGGUGACAGGAAGAGAAAGGAAGGACAAAGGAGAGAUGAAGAAGAUACAGUAAUGGUGAAUACCUCAUCCAGAGGGACAUUGUGAAUGGGCGUCCCGUUGAUCUCAAGGAUCCUAUCUCCAACAUGAAUGGAGUUUUUCACAUCUGGACUGAUGCAGUCUGCGUCCACCCUGAAUAAAGAAGAACAGGCUGGUGGAGCCUCUCCUCUUCACACAAUGAUGCAAACACACAAAACAUGGACAGAUGGACUCACUGGGAGACUCUGACAGUGUGUCCAUGUUCAGGGCUGUAGCCGUUGGUGGG